GGGCUCACUUUGGCAGUACAUAUACUAAAACUGGUGCUACAGAGAUUAGCAUGGCCGCUGUGCAAGGAUGGUGCAUAGAUUUGUGAAACAUUCCAUACCUUU